UACGGGGGGGGCAAGCGUUGUUCGGAAUUACUGGGCGUAAAGGGCUCGUAGGCGGCCAACUAAGUCAAACGUGAAAUCCCUCGGCUUAACCGGGGAACUGCGCUUGAUACUGGAUGGCUUGAGAUUGGGAGAGGGAUGCGGAAUUCCAGGUGUAGCGGUGAAAUGCGUAGAUAUCUGGAGGAACACCGGUGGCGAAGGCGACAUCCUGGACCAACACUGACGCUGAGGAGCGAAAGCCAGGGGAGCAAACGGG
rnacentral:rRNA from 1 species